rnacentral:rRNA from 1 species
UACAGAGACUGCAAGCGUUAUUCGGAAUUACUGGGCGUAAAGGGCGCGUAGGCGGCCAUCUAAGUCAGACGUGAAAUCCCUCGGCUCAACCGAGGAACUGCGCCUGAUACUGGAAGGCUUGAAUCCGGGAGAGGGAUGUGGAAUUCCAGGUGUAGCGGUGAAAUGCGUAGAUAUCUGGAGGAACACCGGUGGCGAAGGCGGCAUCCUGGACCGGUAUUGACGCUGAGGCGCGAAAGCGUGGGGAGCGAUCCGG